UUAUCAUGAGAACAGCAUGAGAGCAACUGCCCCCACAACCCAGUUUCUUCCACCUGGUCCUGCCCUUGACAUGUAGGGAUUACUACAGUUCAAGGUCUCACUCUGUAGCAGAAAACACAGUGGUACAAGCUCACUACAAACUAGAUUUCCUGGCCUCAAGGAACUCCCCCCACCUCAGCCUCCUGAGUAGCUGAGUCUACAAGCAUGCACCACCAUGCCUGGCUAAUUUUUCC
rnacentral:lncRNA from 13 species